rnacentral:rRNA from 1 species
CUUUCAACAACGGAUCUCUUGGUUCUGGCAUCGAUGAAGAACGCAGCGAAAUGCGAUAAGUAAUGUGAAUUGCAGAAUUCAGUGAAUCAUCGAAUUUUUGAACGCAUAUUGCGCCCUCCGGCACUCCGGGGGGCAUACCUGUUCGAGCGUCAUUAAAAGCUUCUUUCUAAGCUGUAUUUAACGGGUUAGAAGUUGUGGGCCAACGUUUUUUGGACGGGUCUGAAACCUAACGGCAGCACCG